UCUUUUCGGAGAGUUUGAUCCUGGCUCAGGAUCAACGCUGGCGGCGUGCAUGAGACAUGCAAGUCGAACGGACGAUCGGGGCUUGCCUUGAUCGUUAGUGGCGGACGGCUGAGUAACGCGUAGGUGACCUGCCCCGAAGUGGGGAAUAACUGCCCGAA
rnacentral:rRNA from 1 species